ACCUGGCGAGGGGGAGCAUAAGAUAAUGUCAUACAUUCGUUUGCAAAGAAACCUGCCUGGAUUUGAUCCAAAUACAAGGCAUUGUCUAUAUGGAUUGGAUGCAGAUCUUAUCAUGCUUGCACUAGCAUCCCACGAAGUCCAUUUUUCUGUCUUGAGAGAGGUUUGUGAUGAGCAAGUUAUUUUUUUUUGUUCUUUUAUAUAUAUAAGAAGAUUCCUGUAGUUUUCUCAUCAUCAUCAUCCUUUAUUGUUAUUUAUUUAUUUAAUUUUUGUAUAUGUAGGGUGUCAUGAAGAAUAAAUAUGUAAAAUCCAAGGAGAGGAAUGGGAAAAACGUGAAGGGCUUUUCAAAAGAGAAUCUAAAUGACCAUAUCUUGAACCAGAGAUUUCAGUUUCUCCAUAUUUGGAUCCUUAGGGAGUAUUUAGCAUAUGCUAUGGGAAUCCCAGAUGUUAAAGGAGAUUUGGAGCGCCUAAUUGAUGAUUUUGUUUUGAUGUGUUUGUUUGUGGGGAAUGACUUUCUACCUCACAUUCCCUCGUUGGAAAUAUCUGAGGGUUAUCACUAUA